CCGCCCCCGCUGCUGGCGCGGGCCGGGCCUGAGGCGAGCGGGGCCGCCGCGGGUUUGCGGGCCGGGGACGGGCGGUGCCGGUCGUGGCCGUGCUGCAGAGGAGUGGGUCAGCCCCGGAGCCGCCAGCUGCCCCUCAGAGCCCCCCGGCUCCUCUGCCAGAGCCAGCGGUACCGGGUCUGGCCCGGCAGAGGGGACACCAAACAGGUGUGGGCUGACACCACCUGCCGCUGGUGGCACCACUGACAGGGCUGGGAGGGUGUCCUGUUCUGAACAGGCCUGUGGUAUCAUCUCCACGACCAACAGAUGGGUGCACUAAGGCUGCUGCAAAAUGAAAGAAGCAAAAAUAGGAAGAGAGACUGAAGGGACCACACAAGUGAGUGUGAGAUCAGGACAUGCAGGAAGUCUGAAGGAUGGAGGAUCUGGCAUGAUAACAGCUGAAGUAUUGACUAAAAGCCCAAUGUCUAUCGAAACCUGGAGCUCCUGACUUGGGUUUCCCUGGUUCCUUUGGGAAGGGAAUUCCAUAUCCAGUCUGCUUGAGCACUGCCUGGUGGAGUGGCCUGAUUUGAAUCUCUGGACUCAGUACAAAUAAACAAAGAUAAAAUGAUGAUAAUG